rnacentral:rRNA from 1 species
UGAGGAAUAUUGGACAAUGGGCGCAAGCCUGAUCCAGCAAUGCCGCGUGCAGGAUGAAGGCCUUCGGGUUGUAAACUGCUUUUGUACGGAGCGAAAAGGUCUGCCCUAAUACGGUGGGCUCAUGACGGUACCGUAAGAAUAAGCACCGGCUAACUACGUGCCAGCAGCCGCGGUAAUACGUAGGGUGCGAGCGUUAAUCGGAAUUACUGGGCGUAAAGCGUGCGCAGGCGGUUAUAUAAGACAGAUGUGAAAUCCCCGGGCUCAACCUGGGACCUGCAUUCGUGACCGUAUAGCUAGAGUACGGUAGAGGGGGAUGGAAUUCCGCGUGUAGCAGUGAAAUGCGUAGAUAUGCGGAGGAACACCGAUGGCGAAGGCAAUCCCCUGGACCUGUACUGACGCUCAUGCACGAAAGCGUGGGGAGCAAACA